AAGUCGUAACAAGGUCUCCGUUGGUGAACCAGCGGAGGGAUCAUUACGAGAGUGUCACCACUCCCAACCCAUUGUUUACCUACCCGUCCACCGUGCUUCGGCAGGCAGCCCUGUGGGACAGAGCCUCGCCCCCCUCGCGGGGGGUGCCUGCCGCUGGCCAACCAAAAAUUCUAGCCGUUUUAGUACCAUCUGAGUCUUCCACAAAUGAACAAAACUUUCAACAACGGAUCUCUUGGUUCUG
rnacentral:misc_RNA from 1 species